rnacentral:misc_RNA from 1 species
CCACAUUGCAUGCAUAAUUUCCCUGCAAUAAAAAAUCGUUAGUUUACUGAUCAAAAUUUAAUCUCAAAUAUGCUAUCAGUGCAUAUAUACUCGUGCACAGUCAUUUUUGCUUUGGAUAAUAAGUGAUCAACUUGCAAUCCUAAAUUUGAUUAUGUGAUGCCAAUCUUAACUUUUCAUUUCUUACUCAUUAUCUUGGCACCCAAGGGGAGAAUAAAGUUAUCAGAAGGUUGAUUAGCAGUUUCUCAGGAAAAGAUAUGUUCCCUUAGUUGGAAACUCCUUCCAGUAAUUAUGGGUAUAAAUACUAUAAAUAAUUACAUAUUUUUAAUUCAAUAAUAUAUAUAUUGCUAUGAUAAGACUCCACUCCUUACACUGUAACAGCAUGCCCACC